GUGCUCGCUUCGGCGGCACAUAUACUAAAAAUUGGAACCAUACAGAGAAGAAUAGCAUGGCCCCUGCGAAAGGAUGACACGAAAAUUUGUGAAGCAUUCCAUAUUUGG
ensembl:snRNA U6 U6 spliceosomal RNA